CCUGAUCUUCAUCUAUACACAAAAUUAAGUGAUAGAAUUUUAUAUUCAUUUCCCCAUGCGAAUUUUAAUAAAUUUACAUGUAAAGGGGGAGUUAUGAGUAUCAAAGAACAAUCAUACCAACACAUCUGGACCUUUUAUGGUACAAGCUUUGUCUAUUGAUCCUCUCCUAUUAGCUUUUUUAAGUUCGCAUUUUCAUCAUUGUCAAUUUUGCUCCUUUAAACUAUAUCGACUUGAACUU
rnacentral:lncRNA from 1 species